UGCCCAGCAAUUCCUAUCCCUACCUCCACGUGGUACUAGCCGGGGUACGAGUAACCUUAGGGAAGAUCGGUUAACCAACCCCGGUGGGAACUCUCGUCGUAUGCUGAUAGGGAAGG
rnacentral:ribozyme from 1 species